CUAGAGAUGAUUGCUGGCAUAGAGACACGGCUGUUUGAGGGAGAGGAUGGCAAGGGAAAAAUGCCUAAAUACUCUAUAAAUGACCUUGACAAUGGCCUGUUCCGAGUUGCAGGGGAAAUAUUUGCAGUAAGCCUUGCACAGGGUGGCCCAGCACCAAGAUGUUUACGGACCCCAUCCAGGAAGAAGGAGAAUGCAGUGGAAGCUGUGUUGUUUGCAGCAACAUCAAGAUACAGGAUCUAUGUAAAAAAGGACGUAGGAGUCAUACUGUGACAUAUUUGUUCUUAGCUUCCUGUCUGUACUCAACUUUGACUUACCCUUCUUGAGAAACCAUCAAUCCCACCAAAUAUCACAAUGUUAAAUCUGAGAAGAAAAUACAUAGAUGAUCAAAACAAGA